CCUACGGGGGGCAGCAGUGGGGAAUAUUGGACAAUGGGCGAAAGCCUGAUCCAGCCAUGCCGCGUGUGUGAAGAAGGCCUUCGGGUUGUAAAGCACUUUCAGUGGGGAAGAAAGCCUUGGGGCUAAUACCCUCGAGGAAGGACAUCACCCACAGAAGAAGCACCGGCUAACUCCGUGCCAGCAGCCGCGGUAAUACGGAGGGUGCGAGCGUUAAUCGGAAUUACUGGGCGUAAAGCGCGCGUAGGCGGUCUGAUAAGCCGGUUGUGAAAGCCCCGGGCUCAACCUGGGAACGGCAUCCGGAACUGUCAGGCUAGAGAGCAGGAGAGGAAGGUAGAAUUCCCGGUGUAGCGGUGAAAUGCGUAGAGAUCGGGAGGAAUACCAGUGGCGAAGGCGGCCUUCUGGACUGACACUGACGCUGAGGUGCGAAAGCGUGGGUAGCAAACAGGAUUAGAUACCCCAGUAGUC
rnacentral:rRNA from 1 species